rnacentral:rRNA from 1 species
GAUGAACGCUGGCGGCGUGCCUAAUACAUGCAAGUCGAGCGAACGGACGAGAAGCUUGCUUUUCUGAUGUUAGCGGCGGACGGGUGAGUAACACGUGGAUAACCUACCUAUAAGACUGGGAUAACUUCGGGAAACCGGAGCUAAUACCGGAUAAUAUUUUGAACCGCAUGGUUCAAAAGUGAAAGACGGUCUUGCUGUCACUUAUAGAUGGAUCCGCGCUGCAUUAGCUAGUUGGUAAGGUAACGGCUUACCAAGGCAACGAUGCAUAGCCGACCUGAGAGGGUGAUCGGCCACACUGGAACUGAGACACGGUCCAGACUCCUACGGGAGGCAGCAGUAGGGAAUCUUCCGCAAUGGGCGAAAGCCUGACGGAGCAACGCCGCGUGAGUGAUGAAGGUCGUCGGAUCGUAAAACUCUGUUAUUAGGGAAGAACAUAUGUGUAAGUAACUGUGCACAUCUUGACGGUACCUAAUCAGAAAGCCACGGCUAACUACG